rnacentral:lncRNA from 1 species
CGGGCCGGCUCGACCUGCCCUGCCCUGGGCUGGGAAGGAUUGGGAUUGGGAAAGGGGUCUGUGACGGACUUGCUGACUGACUGCCCUCUCACCCUAGGUCCCUCCGAGCUCCACUCACGGGAGAACGCUGCGCCUGAACUCGCUGAGGAGGAAGCGUUUGCGGGAAUUGUGCUUCGCCCCUCACGCGCUCCGGUUGGGCUUUGCCAACAACAUGGAUCUGAGGGAGGACAGAUGUGGACGGAACACACACACAACACACACAAACACACAACACACACACACACACACACACCACAACCACACACCACACCACACACACACACACACACACACACCACACACACACACACACACACACACAGAAUAAUGGUACCUUACCCUUCACUUAUAUUUUAUUCAUUUUAUUUAGCCUUUACACUUUUAUUUAUGUAUUAUUCUAAAUAUUAUAUAUAACUAUUUGGCUAAACUGAAAUAAAGACAAUUAUUAUUUACGUAGCACUAUAAUAACACUGCUACUACCACUACAAGCUACUACUAAUUGUAUUGUUAUUAUUAGGGGUCCUAUUAUUUCAAAUACAUUUUUUGUAAUAUCCUUCUAGUAGAGGCAAUUGCCAAAGUAACUGUUCCUAGUCCCACUAUCUUAUUAUUAUUAUUUAUUUAACUUGUGUAACGUUUUCCAAGGAAUGUCAAAGUGCAUAAAAAGUCAAAUAACAAACAAAACAUGUAUAUGAGGAAGAUUAAAACGUGUCAGUAGUCUUCGCUGAGGCAGUUUGGGCUGGAAAACACUGACACUAAAUAUGUAACAUGCUCGCAUGGGCGCUCUCGGGAAUCUAACCCAAUCUACCAGCGUUGCAAGCACCAUGCUCUACAGCUACCAACUGAGCUACAGAGGACCACUGAAGUAGUGUAACAGUGAAGGAUAUUUAGAACAUAUCCAUGAGGCAUGUUGUUUGGUAAAACUCAUUUAGCUCUUGAGAGACUGAUGUCAUAUUCAAUACUGUUCCAAGCGAUUUGUUAGUUCCCACAAACGUGCCAGUGCAAUUUGACAAAAUGUGGUUCCAUAUGAUGCCACAUCAGAUAUAGCACAGAGCAACCACAACAGAAGCUAUAUUGUGUCACGUCACACCCAAAGCACACACUUAUGUGGAGAAUGCGGCACCCAACAUCUCCCCACCUUCUCCCC